GGGAGGCUCUGCGCGAGGUGGCCAAUGGUGAGGAGGUGCGGCUUAAGAGGGGGCUAGGGUUUGUUUGCUGAAAAUUUUGAUAGCUAGUGGGCUAGGAUUUGGGCUGGUUUGUUUUGUAUUUUGGGUCUGAAAUGGGUUUUAAAUUGUUGGACCACACAUAUAUUGUAAAUGGACUAAAAAAAUUGGACUUUUUAAUUGUUUAUUUGGGUUUUAUUUUGUUUUAUUGGCCUAGGCCAAAAUUGGCUAUUACAGCCCCUCUUUGCUCAUUGUCAUGUAAUGAGAAUUGAGUAAAGACCUUAAAAGAGCCAAUUUUGCCUAGUCUUAUCGAAUCUUGACUUAUUUGGUGCUUCUGCACUUCGAGUAGACUCAUUCCAUCCCAUUGUAUCUUCAGGGGUAUAGGAAUUAGUGCCUCGAUUCGCCCCAAUUUAAUUUCAAGAAGAAGAGAUUUGUGGCUUUGAUCUACUCCACUGGAACUUCAAAGAGAUAAGACUAGGUAAUUUCAACCUGCUCCAUUGCAUCUUCAGGAAGAUGAGGUUUGCGACUUCAAUCUGCUCCACUGCAAUUUCAGGGAGAUGAGAUUCGCCAUGGUAACUUGAUCCGACCUACUACAACUUCAGAGAUAAGAUUUGCUAUAUUGAGUCUGCUCCACUAUAACUUCAGAGAGAUAAGGCUCUGUAAUCUAUAGCUUUGAUCUACUCUACUGUAACUUCAAAAUUAGAGCUCCUCUAGAGAAAGUCUUCUUCACCACAUAAGGUCCCUCCCAAUUAGGCAUCCAUUUUCCUCUAAAGUCCUUUUGUAUGAGGAGGAUCUUUUUCAAAACAAGGUCUCCUUCAUGGAAUUCUCUAGGGCGAACCUUCUUAUUAUAAGCCCGCAUCAUCCUCUUUUGGUACAUUUGACCACGGCGAAUAGCCUUUAGUCUCUUUUUUUCAAUUAAAUUCAGCUGAUCAUAUCGAGAUUGGAUCCAUUCUGCUUCAUCUAAUUUUAGUUCUGACAGCACUCGUAGCAAGGGAAUCUCAACCUCAAUAGGCAGAACUGCCUCCAUUCCAUAAACUAAAGAGAAAGGCGUUGCCCCGGUAGAGGUUUUAACGGAUGUUUGGUAGGUGUAGAGGGCGAAUGUUAAUUUCUCAUGCCAAUUCUCAUAAGUCUCAGUCAUUUUCCCCACGAUUUUCUUAAUGUUCUUAUUUGCCGCUUCCGCUACACCAUUCAUCUUUGGACGAUAUGGUGACGAGUUAUGGUGUUUGAUCUUGAAUUGGCUACAAACCUCCGCUAUCGUGCUAUUGUUUAAGUUCAGUGCAUUAUCCGAUAUGAUUCUCUCAGGCAUCCCAUAUCGACAUAUGAUUUCUUUCUUUAAGAACUUGCUAACUGCUGACUUUGUGACGUUGGCAUAGGAGGUGUCCUCUACCCAUUUGGUGAAGUAAUCUAUGACCUCAAAGAUGAAUCGAUGUCCAUUAGAUGCUUUCGGCGAGAUCGGCCCUAUGACAUCCAUGCCCUACAUGGAGAAAGGCCACAGAGAAGUCAUGGCAUGAAGAGGUUAAGAAGGUACAUGAAUCUUAUCUCCAUAAAUUUGGCACUUAUGGCACUUUUUUGGCAUAGUUGAUGCAAUUCCCUUCCAUAGUGGACCAAUAAUAUCAGAAUCUCAUGAUUUGUCUAGCCAUUGUGAAACCAUUAGCAUGUAUUCCGCAGACACCUUCAUAGACCUCUUCUAAAAUUUACUUAGCCUCGAAAGCAUCUACACAUCUUAGGAGCACCUGAUCUUUGCUUCUUUCAUAUAGGAUCUCUCCAUCCAAAACAUAGUUACUGGCCAACCUUCUCAAUAUCCUUUUAUCAUUUUCAGUCGCUUGGUCUAGGUAUUCACGAUUCUUCACAUAUCGCAAUAUAUCCUGAUACCAAGGAUGAUCAUCUUUUCCUUCUUCUUCGUCAAUGUUGUACCAAUGAGCUGGAGCCUCGUAAAUACUCAUUUGGAUAGGCUUCAUAUCCUCUUGCUCGUUCAUUUUGAUCAUAAAAGCCAAGGUUGCCAAGGCAUCAGCCAUCUGGUUUUCAUCUCGUGGAAGGUAGCAGAAAGUGAUAUCGUCAAACUCCUCGAUUAACUCAAGAACCAGCCUUCGAUAAUUGAUCAACUUGGGGUCUCUUAUUUCCCCUUCGCCUUUAAGCUGAUAGAUCACUAAUGCAGAAUCUCCGUAUACCUCUAAUACCUUGAUCUUACAUUCUAUGGCUACAUGGAUGCCCAUGAUGCACGCCUCGUAUUCCGCCAUGUUAUUUGUGCAGUCAAAAUCCAAUUUACUAGUAAAGGGAUAAUGAUCGCUGUUUGGGAUACCAAAACUGCCCCGAUUUCGUUACCCACAGUAUUUGAAGCUCCGUCAAAAUUCAGUUUCCAAAUAUGGCCUUCUUGAGAGUCUUCUUCCAUGGUUGCAACAUAUAUUAGAUCCUCAUUCGGGAAAUCAAAGCUCAACGGCUCAUAAUUUUCCAGAGCUCUACUGGCCAAAAAAUCUGCUAUCACACUCCCUUUUACAGCCUUUUGGUUCAUGUAGGCUAUGUCAAACUCAGAAAGUAAAAUUUGCCAACAAGCCAUUCUUCCGUUCAGAGCAUUUGACUCCAUCAUGUAUUUUAGAGGGUCUAGUUUUGAGAUGAGCCAAGUAGUGUGGUACAACAUAUACUGUCUCAGCCUUCAGGUUGUCCAAAUCAAAGCACAGUACAACUUCUCGAUCGAUGAAUAUAUUGUCUCACAUUCAGUGAAUUUCUUGCUGAGAUAGUAUAUCGCUUUUUCUUUUUUUCUUGACUCGUCAUGUUGGCCUAGCGCGCAUCCCAUAGAGUUUUCGAAUACUGCCAAAUAUAGUAUCAGUGGUUUAUCCAGGCAAAGUGGCAUUAGUACUAGAGCAUUGGACAGGUAAUGCUUAACCUUAUCAAAAGUUUUCUGGCACUCCUCAUUCUAUACACCUGGGUUGUGUUUCCUAAGGAAAUGGAAUAUCAGGUCACAUUUCUCCGUUAAUUGUGAAAUGAACCGGGCGAUGUAAUUUAGUCUUUCUAGAAAACCUCAAACUUCUUUUUGAGUACGUGGUGGAGGUAAUUCUUGUAUGGCCCUGACUUUAUCUGGGUCAAUCUCAAUCCCCUUUUCACUGACUACGAAUCCUAACAUUUUCCCUGACUUGGCCCUAAAGGUACACUUUGCAGGAUUGAGUUUUAGUUGGAACUUCCUUAACCUUAAGAAUAGUUUUCUCAAGACUUGCACAUGCUCCUUUUCUGUUAUGGAUUUUGCAAUCAUGUUGUCGAUGUAAACUUCGAUCUCCUUGUGCAUCAUAUCAUGGAACAUAGUUACCAUGGCUCUCUGAUAUGCUACUUCUGCGUUUUUCAGUCCGAAUGGUAUAAUCUUAUAACAAAACGUUCCCCACAUGGUUAGGAAUAUGGUCUUUUUCAUGUCUUCAAGAUGUAUUUUUAUCUGGUUGUAUCCCGAGAAGCCAUCUAUGAAUGAGAAAAUUGAGUAAUCUGUCGUGUUAUCCACUAAUGUAUCAAUGUGAGGCAACGAGAAGUUUUCUUUUGGGCUGGCCUUAUUUAAAUCCUGAUAGUCCACGCACAUUCGUACCUUCCCAUCUUUCUUAGGAAUUGGGACUAUAUUGGCUACCCAUUUUGAGUACUUGACCACUUGUAAGAAACCGGUGUCAAAUUUCUUCUUGACCUCUUCUUUUAUCUUCAAUAAAAUAUCGAGUCUCAUCCUUCGGAGUUUCUGUUGAACAGGUUUGCAUUUUUCCUUUAUGGGGAGACGGUGUACCACAAUAUCAGUAUCUAACCCGGGUAUUUCCUGAUACGACCAUGCGAAGACAUCCUUGAAUUCUUAUAAUAACUUAAUAAGGUCUUGUUUUGUCUCUGCAGUGAUACAAGCUCCAAUCUUAACCUCUUUUCCCUCUCCUAAACUCACAAUUUCUACUGACUCUUUAUGAGGUAGUAUUUGUUUCUCAUCUUGUUCUACUAUCCUUAACAAAUCAGGAAAUAGGUUACAAUUUCGGUCAUCUUCAAAAUCCUGAGAAUCCUCUAUGCGCAUAUCUUGCUCAAAAGGAGACUCUAAGUCAGUAGCAACAUUGUUCAUAUCAUUGAUAUAUGGGAACCUAUUAUAGGGAUGAAAAAAAAUCCAAAGAACAAAAGAAUCUAAGAAUAUUUUAUUUGUGUGGUAUGAUUAUGAAUGAAGUAGAAAAAAAUAAAAGAAUAUUUGCUCAAGAUGAUAUGCAAAAAUGCAUUUUAUUGAAAUAAUGAUAUUUGGACAUAUGCCUAUUUCAGAAAAGGGUUUUUAUUGCCCCUAGGCUUAGAGAAAUAAGCUUAUUUUGAACAUUACUCUGAGUUAAUUCUAAAAGUUACAGGGAUCUCUUCCGCAGUCUAAUUGUUCAAAACAAUUCCAGGGAUAUAAAGGCAGAUUCCAGAUAAAUUCCCUUCUUCGAUUCUUUCUUCAGAUAUGGCGUUAAUGCUCAAACUUCCCAACAUUUCUUCAGCCAUUUUCUUUCUUGUCAUCUCCUGUUUGGGGUGGAUAGUUCCUCCUGACACAAAUGUUCUAGAUAAAUGAGGAAAGGUUAUUGGUUCCCAUUUGACCUCCUCACCGCGUAGACGCGCUUUUCUUCUCUCUUGCUUCUUCUCCAGCUGUUUCUUCUUUUGCCUCAUAUCUGGCUUAAAUCCUAAGCCAAAGUGGUCUCAUUUUUCCUUUAGCACAGUAUCUCGAUCCUUUCCUGAAGGCAUCUUCCAAGUCCUCUCCCUAGCAGGGCUCCUUUCUCGACUGUCAAUUAUAGGCCCAUCUCUGUAGUUUUGGAUAUUUUAAGAGUUGGGAUCUUGUUCACUUCGAUAAUGGAUGUAGCAUUGACAAAUUCUAGUGAUUGAAAGGAAUAUUCUAUUGCCUCAUCGUUUGCACCUAUGUACGGUGCGUAACUGGUAACGGAUGCAAUGAUGUCUUCUUCCGCGUUAUCGUUACCAGUCUACCCUCGGUUAUCAACUUUAACUUCUGGUGUAGUGACGAUGGCACUGCUCCCGUAAAGUGAAUCCACGGCAUCCCCAACAAGCAGUUGUACGAAAGCUUGAUGUCCAUCACCAAUAAGUCCACCUCAUAUGUGUUUGGGCCAAUCAAAAGAGGUAUCUCGAUUCUUCCCAUCACCUUUCUUUUAGUACAGUUGAAUGGUCUCACUAUGUUUUGACAUGUCUUAAUGUGGGAGCUAUCUACUGGCAACCUAUUUAGCGUGGACAAGGGCAGGACAUUCAACUCCGAUUCAUUAUCGAUUAGUACCCCCGGCAAUGUGUAUCCCUUGCAGCGAGUGGUGAUAUGCAAGGCCUUUGUGGAUCCCAUACCCUCCAGUGGUAUUUCAUCGUCAUUAAAGAAAAUAAAAUUAUCGGUGCUGAUGUUAUUGACCAAACGAUUGGGCUUGUUGACAGAGAUAUUAUCUGCAAUAUAUGUUUCAUUUAACACUUUUAUUAAUGCACUGCGGUGUGUCUCUGAGCUCAAGAGCAAGGCUAAUACCGAUAUGUGAGCUGGCUGUUUGUGCAACUGUUUCACAACACUAUACUCAUUGUGCUUCAAGAAUUUUAAGAAUUCCUUAGCCUCCUUUUCAGUUACAGGCUCAUUGACAGGUGAUUCAGGUCUGGUUGUCUUUUCCUUUCUUUGUUCAACAACCACGAAUUUACUUUUAACUGGGUCUACCUUUUUGUUCAAGGUAUAACGCCUUCCACCGCGCGUAUAGAAACCCUCAUCUUGACCUUCCUCUGAAGCGCUAGCCGGGUUCUCCUCUCCCGGGAUCGCCACAUUGUAGUCGUAAUUCCAAGUAACCCUUUUGUUAUCCUUGUAAGGAAAGGAUAUAGGUUUCUGGAUUAUGACUCUUGCACCAUUGGUAUUCCUACUUCAUUAUUCCUUGGCCGCGAAAUGAUCACCACAGGGUGAUUAACCUUUUGGACUCUUUCUGUUGAUCCUUCCUUUGAGGCGCAAACCUCUCUUUCUUCUGCCCCUUUGAUUUCUUCGUAAAAUUCUAUCUCUUUAUUGUCCAUCAGACUUUGCACUAUGGAUCUGAACUCAGCGCAUUCUUGGAUGUCAUGACCCUUCUCGUCAUGAAACUUGCAGUAUUUCGUUACCCCUUUAGGCUUCUCCUCUUAAUGUCUUGUGAUUAAACCUCUAUUGACCAUUUGUUUCCAAACUCAACUCAGUGGAGUUUUUACCUCUGAUACCUCUAUCUUGGUUCUCUUCCCUCCAUUUUUAGUUAUCGCGUUUACUCCUUUGUCUGAAUGACUAGGUAACGAAUUUUCUGCUACAUGAGGUCAUGUGAGAUCAUCGAACUUUACAAUGCCCAUCUUUAUAAAUCUUUCAACUAUUUUUUUGAAAGCAGUGCAGUUCUCAAUCGUAUGUCCUGGGAUUCCUGCAUGGUGUUCGAAUUAAACGUUUGUGUCAUACCACUUAGGGAAUAGAUGUUGCAUGAGUUUUAGGUAAAAUGGGGAUACCACAUGCGCAUCGAACAGAUUCUGGUAAAGCUCCCUAUACGUCAUUGGGAUCGGCGUGAACUGAACUCUUUUCGUGUUAGGCCUUGGGUUAGAAUCUUGUCUUUUGGAGCCCUGAUAGCUAGUGGUCACUGCCCUCGGUUGGCUUACAGUGACUGGCUUGGAAUAACCCUUUUGUAUACGCUCGCAUUGUUCACCUCAUUUUCUUUCCUUCUCGAGGCCAAUUUCUUGGCACUUUUCCCCGCUUCAAUCUUCCCGCAUCUUAUUGCAUUUUCUAUCAUCUCUUCAGACAUUACUAUGUCUGAGAAGCUCUUAGUAGCGCUUCCCAACAUGUGGUUAAUGAAUAGGGCCUUUAGGGUAUUGAUAAAAAGCAUGGUCGUUUCUUUUUCCAAGAGAGGUGGUUGGACUUGCAUUGCUAUCUCCCUCCAUCGUUAGGCAUACUGCCUGAAGCUCUCACUUGACUUCUUUUCCAUGUUUUGCAAUGUAAUUCUGUCGGGUGUUAUAUCCGUCAUGUGACCGUAUUCUUUCAUGAAAGCUUGAUCCAAGUCCUUCCACGAACCAAUUUGGGCACGGCUUAGAUAGUUAUACCACUUGGCCGUAGACCCGACCAAACUGUCUUGGAAGCAGUGGAUCAACAAUUGAUCAUUGUGAACAUACCCUGCCAUCAUUCGACAGAACAUGGUGAUGUGAGCUUCCGGACAGCUAGUUCCAUUGUAUUUUUCAAAAUCUAAGGUUUUAAACAUAGAAGGGAGUACUAAAUCUGGGACCAAACUUAGGUCUUUGGCGUCUAUUCCACAAUGGUACUCAGAAUUCUCCAUUGCUCUGAGUUUCUCUUCCAGCCAUUAGUAUCGAUCAUUCAGUUGUUUUGGUAGUUCCACUCUUAUUUUCUCUACCUCUGCCACAUUAUCAAGAUCAGGAACAAGGGGAUUGGUUGAGUUAUCCCCAGGAUUGGAACCCGAGCCUAUUUGAUAGUUUAUCAGAGCUAAAGUAUCGAUUUGAUGCUGUUGAGGCCUGAUAGUAACGGGUACCCUUCAUGGGUACACUUCUAGUGGUGUCUGGACGUUGAUUGGAGUAAAGACUGGGAGGUAGAUAGGAUCCUCAUUUUCGUUCGCAGUACUCUUCCCUUUUUCACGUUCUCUGACCAGCAACUGCGCCAAUUGGCUCAUCAUAUUAUUUUGGGACUCUUGCAUUUGUUCCCUCAUAUCUUGUUGUAUUUUAGCUAACUGCUCUUACAUCUGCGCUUGUAAUUGCUCUUGCAUAUCCUUUUGCAUUUAUUCUAGUCUUUCUAACCUCUGAUCCAUCUCUUUAGUUUUAUGACGGGUAUUGUAGCGGUAUUCGAUUGGUCGACUCUUAUUGGUUUCCAAAUUAACUGAAAUAAUUUUUUUUAAUUAAGGCCUUUUCGUGAAAUUUAAUACAUAUGAUUAAAUGUAAUGCAAAUGAAUGAAUGCAAAAAGAGGCAUUGAUUCUGAUUCAAUUUCAUUAGAAGAACUUUACUAGAAGAACUUUACUAGAAGAACUUUACUAGAAGAAAAAUUUCUUUACAUAGAACGGAUGAUUACAUAUACGACUUUUCCCUAAUGUCCAAAGCCUUAACUUUUCUAAGGAGCCAAGCAAAGUUUCGACCUCGAUUUGAUUCUGACCCGUACUUUAAGCUUAAUACAUCAGCCUGAACUUCCAAGUCUUGCAAAUGAUCGGCUACCUCACGAACUUGAGCUACAGCCUCGCCCAUGACAUAAUCUCUAUUUCUAAUCUGAUCUUGAGAGCGGAGAAGUUGUUCUUUGCAAUGCUCAUUGUUUGCCUUAAGGAGUUCCACUCGAAUUUUACUGUCUCGUAGUACAGUCUCAAGUUUCCCUAUUUCCUCUUUUAACCCCUCGAUCUUGCUUAGACUGGUCUUUAACUCAAUCACGGAGUUACUGCUACGAUGAUAAUGCAGUGAUUUUUCUAAUUCGGCCACCCGAGCUCGUAACCUUUCUUUUUCUCUUUGGCUUUCCAACAAAAUCUUUUUCAAAGUAUCCUCUUGAAACUUCUUCUCCCAAUGAUCGACUCUAGUCUUUUUCUUUUCAAUUUCUUGACACCAUUGCUCUGACGUUUUACCUAAACCGACAGUUCUUAUCGACAUACGCAGCUUCUUAUAAUCAGUCUUUAGACUAUCCAAGUCCUCAUCGGCUUUGUUCUUCCCUUUCCUUAGCUUCUUGGCCUAUAGCUUAUGGAUGUCGACGUCUAAUCCUAGCCGCAUCUUUUCCUCCUCUAAUUGCUCUAUCUUUUUUCCCAAUUCCGAGCUCCUUUUCUCGAAGUCUUACUUGAUGAUCUCUAACUCAAACGGGACUACUUGUAAAUGCUCUUCUAUCGGUCGAGUGUUCCCUUGAUUCAGCCUAAGGAUAUUGUCAUUGACUCUUCUACCCCACCACCAUUCAUACUCGGAGGUUGUUAUCGGGCCCGUGGUGAAUCCUUUCAUUCUUCGGGUUUGGUUCCAAGCAUUUAAUAUCUCAUAAACCUUCUUCUUAUAAUUGUUGUCUUUAUAAGAGAACUCACAUUGAGCUAACCCUUGUUUUGCUGGUAUAAACUUUCUUAAUCGAUACUGCCUUAACACAAGUAGUGGAACGUAUCCAACGACUCCUCAUAUUCCACCUAGAGGAACCCAGUCAAAAUUGCCGCACUGAUAUAAGAUUUCGCCAGGGAUCAACCAUGGAGCCCUCUAUUCAACAUCUUCGCCUUGCAAACUCUGGAAAAUAGCUAUCAUUUUUCUUCUGAGAUAUCGUCUCGUCUUGGUGUAGCGACUAAUUCUCUUAAUAGGGAAUAGUCCUUGGAGAAAACUCGAUAGGAGACAUUUUCUACUUUCCAAAAGUGGCUGUGGAACCAAGCCAACAAUAACUGCGCACAUCCUACGAAUCUUCCUUCGCCCGCCCUCCGACAUGCGUUCAAGGAUCUGAAGGUUUCUACUAGGAUUGCCAGGACGGGUGUGGUCCUUUUAUCAAGUCUGUCGAAUAAAUCUGAGACGGCCUCAUCUACAUGUCCUAAUGCCUUGGGAAAGACGAUCAAACCGUAGAGGCUCAAGGCGAAAACGUCAACCCUCUUCUUCAUAUCCGGGUGUGCCAGGAUCAAGUCCCUCAAAUUCUUCCAAAGAAUACACUUACUAUCCCCUUUCUGCUUGAUCCGGGAUGCAACCCAUUGUUCACUCAUCCCCGUGAUAUUCAUCAAUUUCUUCAAAAAGGGCGGGACAUUAACAGGUCUUGAAUAGGCCCUGUCGGCUUGAAUCUUUGGGCAAUUAUGUAAAGCCAUGUAUUCCUCCACAGUAGGUACCAAAUCAACUCUCCCAAAAGUGAAGCAACUGUAGGCGGGGUUCCAAAAUUGGGUGAGAGCUCGGAAUAAGCGUUUGUCCAUUUUCACCUCGAGUAAAUAAGCGUUUUGGCCUAACCCGAUCCGACCCGACCCGUCUUACCCUAGGAUCUGCGUGUUUUUUGUUUGAUGGUCUAAUUUCGCGAUUGGCCCAUUCCGCCUUUUCAUGUUUUUGCAAUUGAGUUUUUAAUAUUUCCUAAUUAGGCCCCGAAAUUUGACGCACUUUGUGAUCUAGUCCUCUGCCAUGCGCUGCGUUUUAGGAGGAGAGAAUAUUGCGCUUUUGGUCCCCUAGAGUUUCCCGCGUGUUCAUUUUGGUCCUUUGCCCUUUAUUUCUUUUUAAAUUUGCCCCAAAAUUCUGUUCUUAGUUCGAUUUAGUCCUUUUUCGUUUAUUUUCAUUUUUUUACAUAUUAUUAAUAUUAUUACUAUUAUUUUAUUUCUAUUAUUAUCUUUAUUAUUACUGUUAGUAUUAUUUUCAUUACUAUUAUUUUUAUUAACAUAUUAAUUAUUUUCUAACGUAUUAUUAUUACUAAUUAUUAUUAUUUCUAGUUUUAUUAUUAUUAUUAAUAUUAGGGUAUGUAUAUUAUAUAUGUAUGUAUAUAUAUUUACAUAUAGUACUAUUUUAAUUACUUUAUUUUAAUAUUACUAUUAUAUUAUAUUUGCUUUUUUAUAUACUUCAUUAUUAUUUCUAAUAUUAUUAUUAUUAUUAGUCGUUAUUUAUUUCUAAUAUGUAUAUAUUAUGUAAAUGUUUAAAUAUUAUAUUUUAUAUAUUCUUCAUGUAUGUUAUGUAUAUAUAUUUUCAAUAUUAUAUAUUUUAUAUAUUAUUAUAUAUAUUUUAAUAUUAUUAGUUAUAUAUUUUUUAUACUAUUAUGUGUAUAUUUCUAAUAUUAUAUUGUAUAUUUCUAAUACUAUUAUUUAUAUAUAUAUGUGUGUGUGUAGAUACUUGUGUAGUGUACAAAGUAGUUUUUUAUUAUUAUUAUCAUUUCUAAGGUAUGUAUAUAUUGUAUAUAUUUUAUAUAUGUUAUGUAUAUAUUUUUAAUAUUACUAAUUAUAUAUAUUUCUUAUACAUUUCCAUGUACAUAUUUUUAUACCAUCUUAUGUAUAUAUUUUUAAAUACUAUAUUGUAUAUAUAUUCUUAAUACCAUAUCGUGUAUAUAUCAUUAUUACAUUUAUUUUACUCCUACUAUGUUUGUUAUUAAUAUCAAGACAUAUAUUUUAUUAUACUUGUAUGCAUAUUUUAUAUAUAGUAUUAUUUUCGUAUAUCAUUAUAAUUAUUAUACCCAUUAGUUUCACUAUCAUCACUUAUUAUUUUAUAUUACUAUGUAUAUAUUUUUCAUAUACGUCAUGUGCACACAUUUUUCAUAUGUAUACAUGUAUAUAUUAUGUAUAUAUUUUAACAUUAUUAGUUAUAUUCUCACUAUCAAACAUUAUAUAUAGUGUACAUACAUACUCUUAAUAUCAUGUAUCUAUAUUCAUUAUUUCCAUUUCAUAUUUAAUUCUAGUAUCAUAUAUAUCUUUAUUGUUUAUAAUAUUAUUGUCACAUUUAUAUUCGCUUCAAUGUACCUCUAGAUUUGUCUUUUAUUUUUUAUUUAUUAAUUUGCUUUGCAUUACUUCGAAAACCAUAUUCUUGUUUUCUAAUUAAUUUCAAUAAUCAAGGCAACGUACCGAUUUAAUGUUAAGCCAUCGAUUUCAUCGCUAUGUUGGGUGAAUAUCAAUCGACUCGUGUUAAAACGGUAUAUUCUUCUCAAAAGAAAACGAAACUUGAAAUUUCUCGUGUUUUACUCGGUCACGAUUCAAUGUUACUUUGAACUUGCAAUUUUGAAAAUUAAUACAACACUUGUUUAUAAGAUACCAAUUUUGGACGUCGCGAGGGUGCUAAUACCUUCCUUGCGCGUAACCGACUCCCGAACCCUAAAUUUUCUCUGGAUUUUAACGUAGACCUAAACUCAGCCUUUUAUUUGUUUUAAUAAGAGAUCUAAUAGGUGUCCGAUCACACCUAGGGAAAAGGAUCGGUGGCGACUCCCUGUUUAUUUCAAAAAUCAAAUUUCAAAAUUUUUUUUCAAUAAAUCGCCACAAUUAGCGACCAAGCUAAGCUAAAAUUUUUACGUCGCUACAGCUGGCGACUCCACUGGGGACCAUUUUUGAGAGUCGAGUUGAAUUAAACGCGUGUUGUCAAAAUUUUCAAAGUUCCUUGUUCAAAAUGAAUAUUCAAUCAUGAUCCUUAAGUUUUGUUUUCGAAAAAAUCAUACAUACAUAUCUCCUAAUUUGUUUUAUCUUUCAUUUUUCAGCUUUAAGUUUUAUGGUUUUAGUUUUGUAGUUUUAAAAUAAAUGAAAGGUUUGCAAGUUUCUCCCCACGCACCGUGCACAUGCAUUUUUGUUGCAUAACAUGAGCUCUAUACCCGGGCUCUAUCCUUAUUAAGUGAAAGUAAAUGCUACGCCUUCGUGAGUUAACUCGUUCCUCCGCACAGGCUAGUGAAUACUUUCGGGUUACAUAUGACUUAUGCUUUCGUGAGUUAACUCGUCCCUCCGCAUAGGCAUAAGUAAAUGUAAUCGCUCGAAUUGAUCUCGUAAGCCUAUGAUGGACCAUGACCGAGGCUCUGUACUAAUCUUAGUAGAUGACAGUAUAGACGAUUCGAGUACCCAUCUAGAACCAAAACUGCAUGUAGUAAACCAUACGAGCCAUCCAACUAGAGCCGUGCCAAAACUCCAUCCGUUUACUAGUCACUGAAAUAAGUACACGGGAAAAACACAUCUUACCUUCUAUUUCUUUUACAUUUGCGCUUUCUAUGCAAGGGAAUCGAGUCCAUUGGACCAAGUAGCUUAAUUUAUUAGAUUGUCCACAGUUUUUCUCUGUUCAUAUGUGUUGUGCUAACCAAGUUUGUUUCUUUUUAUUCUUAUUUUACAUCAUGCAUUAUAGGCAUCAUAUUAGGAAGGUGUUGACUAGAGAUCGGUUGCCAAAAAAUGGGUUUGUAAUGGAAGAGUCAAUUAUACAAACAACCAAGAAGAAUGCCGCGGUUUGAGAUUGGUCUCUAAAGACUCAGAAAGAAAGAGGGGAUAGUCUAGUGGAGGGAUGCAUUGCCAAUUUACCCGAGCACGUAACUGUGAAUAUUCGCCAGAAUAACCUUGAAGAUUUGGUUCGGGUUUGGAAUCAGUGGGACUUGGACACUAGGGGUAUCUUCACUGAAAGAUAUGGGGACAUAGCCGACUUGAUUACUGUCAACGUAGACGAACGAUUGAUCCAAACCAUGGUCAGAUUUUGGGAUCCAGCCUACCAAUGUUUUACUUUCAAUCAGGAAGACAUGACCCCGACUAUAGAAGAGUACGCUGCUUUACUUCGUGUCGAAAACGUACAACCCUAUAAGAUAUAUGUGAAAGAACCUAAGCCAAUGACCUUCAAGAAAAAGUUAGUAAGAUUGACAGACGUGACUGACACGUGGGUCAAAAAACAGAUAAAGAAGAAGAAUGAAACCAUUUGCAUCCCAUGGUCUUCCCUACGAGACUUUGUUCUGAACCAUCCCGACAUGUUGAAAAGGGUAAAUCUGUUCGCUCUGGUCAUUUACGGUUUGAUCAUUUUCCCAAAGGUCCUUGGAUACAUAGAAGUUGCGGUGGUAGAUUUCUUCGAAAGAUUAAAACAAGGAAUCAACCCCGUCCCAACUAUCCUGGCCGAAACCUUCAGAUCAUUAAGUAGCUGUAAGAAGAAAGGGGAAGGUCGUUUUAUCGGAUGCGCGCAGUUACUCAAUGUUUGGAUUCUGAGCCACUUCUGGAAAAUAGAGCGUACACUAUUCCAUAUGUUUUCUAAAACAUUCUCCCCGUUAGAAGCUUAUCUCAAGAAAGAAUGGCCGAAGGAGGUCCCCGAACGAUAUUGGGUCUCAGUCUUUCAGAAUCUUCGCGCUGAUGACGUAACUUGGAGAGCCCCGUGGAUAUGCCCGUCAGUUCUGCUAUACAAGGUCGGGGAUCAAGAUUGGGUGCCACUACUCGGGUUAUGGGGAGGAGUUGGAUAUGCUCCGUUAAUGCUCCAAAGGUAAUUUUCUUCAUGAUAAUUCGUACCCGCCACCGGAGGAUUAGCACAAUCAGAGUUUGCUUUUGCGGGUGAAGGAUAUAUGAAGAGGGUCCGAGAUAUUGCAAAGUCUUGGAAGAGAAUUCAUCACAUAGAAUUAGCUCUAUAUGCUGAUACGUUCACCCAAGAUUACGACAUAUGGAGAAAGCAACGGGUGAACAGCCAGCAAAUCUCGUCGACAAAUUACACCAUCCAGAAUCCUUUCUCGGCAGAAGUGCCAUCCGAGCUAGAAAUAGCAAGACAGGAUUUUUGAGCGCGAAAGGUCAAAAUGUUGCGGGACAUUAGUAUUCUUCAAGAAGAAAAUUACCAGUUGAAGAUCGACGUCCAGAUCGAAAGGUCUAAAAUCGAAAAAGUACAAAAAGAAGUUGAAGUCGUAAGAAAUGACUUAAGGGACCUUCAUCUGGAAAAUAAAAAGUUAAGAGUCACUAUCAAGAAUAGUGGGUUGGGUAAGUCAUCAACAGAAUGGAGAGAAGAAUUAAACAAUGCUAAAGGCGGGAUGGAAUUUUGGAAAAAGAUGGCAGAGAAGGAGGAGGAAAAGGCUGCACGGGUUAUGAUAAAAUUGAGAAAGAAAAACGCUGAACACGAAGCUAUGUCUACCAAAUGGACAACUAGUCAAUCUGAACGUCAAAGCUUAAGAGAAAGAGUACGGGAUCUAGAAGAUGCGUUGCGAGCUCGUCAGCAACAAUUGGAUGCUCUCUUAAAAGCCUUGGAAGAAAAGAAUGAUCAAUAUGAUAGAGACACUCACGCUUAUAAAACAGACCUCCAAGAAAGAGAAAUGCAACUUGGCUUUUUGAUCAACAAAAUCCGUGAAGCGGCUGUGCACAUGGUACAACUAUCAGAUGAAGCAGACGAUCUCAGUUGCCAAUUCUCGCCGAGCCAACAAUCGAGCAUAUCAGAGUUCUUGGAGCGAGUAAAGAAAUAUAGCGAUAUAGCUAGGAAAUUUGUGUAAUGGCCGAAUUAAAAAUGGCGAAAUGUUUUGUGAUGAACUCUUUCGAUGAAUGAAAUGCCUAAUAGGGACUAUCUCGAGAUCAACACCAAUUUCUCGCAUUUCUUUCAUGUCUGACAUUCAUUCAACAUUUUUUCAUUCAUUCAUUGCAUAUACAUAUCCCAUAAUCAUUCGCUAAGGUUAGAAACAUAUAAUUUGCAGUUGCAACACUUCAAAUCUGGAACCACGCCAUUCGUAUAAAACGCGUCGACAAGCUAGAGUAAUGGAGGCUGAGUUCAAUGAAAGAAUCGAAAGGAUGGAAAGAAUCCAGAGGGAAUUACAAGAACAACUGGUUAAGUCACAGCAAGAAACGAGGGAUUUGAUAGUAAGAUCUCGAGAGGAAUCACUUGAACAUAAGGAUCAAAUGGCUAGAAUGAUGGAGAUGAUGUCGGUUUUGAUCAAAGAAAAAGGACCCAUGCAGAACCCCGACAGUAUGGAACCUCAAUCAAGAAUUAAUCAUGACCAGGAUCCACUCUAUCCCCUAGGAUUCACUCCACCGCAUACCCACGUAGCACAAAGAGGGUAUACUCAAGGGGAAUCCACAGGCUUGGAACAACGACCUAUGCCAUUUGCUCAUCUAGGGCAAGGAACAUUUAUGUCAAAUCCCGGAGCAACCCCUACCAAUCCUGUAGUUCUAGAUUUAGAUGAUCCGGCUGAAGUAGCCAAGUUGAAAAUAGAUGAUCACGAGGCUCAAGAGAAGUAUAGGAGUUUGGAAGAAAGACUCAAGGCAAUAGAAGGCACUGAAGCCUUCUCGGUACUAGGUGCUAAAGAACUCAGUUUGGUACCUGAUCUAAUUCUGCCUCCGAAGUUUAAGGUGCCAGACUUCGAAAAAUACGAUGGGACAAGAUGUCCAAAAGCAUAUCUUGUCAUGUUUUGCCAAAAAUGACCGGUUACGUGAACAAAGAUAAGCUACUUGUACAUUGUUUUCAAGAUAGUCUGGUAGGAUCGGCUCUUCGGUGGUACAACCAGCUCAGUAAGGACAGGAUCCGAUCCUGGAAAGACUUGGCGUUGGCAUUCUGUGAGCAGUACAAGCAUGUAUCAGAUAUGGUGCCUGAUCGGAUGACUUUACAAAUGAUGGAGAAAAAGCCAUCAGAAACUUUUAGACAGUAUGCGCAGAGAUGGAGGGACGUCUCAGCCCAAGUGGAACCCUCACUGACGAAAAUAGAGAUAACCGUCAUUUUUAUUAACACCUUAAAGACGCCGUUUUAUGACAAACUAGUGGGAAGCGCCACGAAGGACUUCGCGGACAUUGUAAUAUCCGGUGAGCUUACAGAACGCCGUCAAGAGCGGUAGAAUGGAAGGUCAAGAAAGUUCAAAAAGGGUAGCGCCCAUGAAGAAGAAAGAACCAGAAGCCCACAUAGUGGGAAUGGGAAGCCGUUAUACCCCUAAUCCAUAUCCAAACUAACCCCAACCUCAAAAUUAUCCACCUCCGAAUUUUUAUUAUCCUCCUCAAACCCCUUACUACCAAACACCGCCUCCUUACUCUUCUUACCCUGUUUACGCCACAAGUAACCCAAGACCAAUCGCCACAUUCCCAGAAAAUACAAUAGUCGCCCAAGGCCAACCCAAAAACGAGCAGAGGCCAGCAAAACCCAAUUCCGAGAGACCACAAUUUACCCCUAUUCCUGUGCCAUAUGGGGAACUGUACCCAAAACUUUUGGAGAAGCAAUUGAUAUCCCCGCAUUAUAUGGCACCCUUGAGGCCCCCAUACCCGAAAUGGUACGACCCAAAUGCUAGUUGCGUGUACCACGCCGGGAACCAGGGACACUCUACGGAAAACUGCCUUGCCUUCAAAAGGAGAGUUCAAGGACUCAUCGAUGCAGGUAUUCUGCAAUUUGAUGGUACUGACGGUACAACCGAGAACCCAUUCCCUAACCAUAUCGAAGGAAAUGUGAGCACAGUGAGGAAAGAAGAUAAAUGGCAAGUCAGAAGAUGUGUUUCAGAAAUAAGGACGGCUCUGCAGAAAAUCUGGGAGGCACUAGUUAAGAAGGGACUGCUCUGUCGCCUCGACGACAAUCUCAGAAAAGAAUGUCAGGUUUUUUAUGAUUUUCAUGGAAUUGUAGGGCAUGACAUUCAAUCAUGUGAAGAAUUUAAAAGGUUAUUGCAAGACCGGAUAGAUAAUAAGGAGAUUGAGAUCAUUAAUGAAAUAUGGGCCAAUGAGAGAGAAGUAUGUGCUUCUGACAAUCAAUCGUCAAGUUUUCCGUAUAGCACCGAUCGACCAUUCGUAAUUUAUUACGAUGCAAGGAAUGAACUGGUGAAACCAAAAAUGAUAAUUGAAGUACCAUCUCCUUUCCCCUACAAGGAUAAUAAAGCAGUACCAUGGAAAUACGAAGAAAAUCCAAAGCUGUAACUGGAAACGUUGGAGAAGUAGGUCAUUUCACUCGCAGUGGGGGAUGUUAUUCGAAAGAAGUUGAACCAGUGAAGAAGAAUAGUGAUUUGAAACAAAAAGGAAAGGCACCAAUGUUUGAGGCUGAAACUAAGAACGAAACUCCGCCUGAGCAACAAAAAACUAAAGAGUCGGUAGAUGAGGAAGAAGCACGGGAAUUCUUAAAGUUUAUCAAACAUAGUGAGUACAACGUGGUAGAACAAUUGAGUAAGUAGCCAGCGCGAAUCUCGGUAUUAUCUCUGCUGUUGAAUUCAGAACCACACCGGAACGCUCUGCUGAAAGUGUUAAAUCAAGCUUAUGUGGCAAACAAUGUAUCCGUUGAAAAACUGGAUAGAUGGAUGAACAACUUGAAUGCGGAUAAUUUUAUUUCUUUUAGUGAUGAUGAAAUACCGCCCAAUGGUAGAGGCUCAGUGAAAGCAUUGCAUAUCACAACCCGUUGUAAGGUCUAUAUAAUACCGAACGUGCUCAUCGACAAUGGAUCAUCACUCAAUGUCAUGUCUUUGGCCACACUUUCCAGGAUUCCGAUGGAUUUGUCCUAUCUAAGGCCCUGCCAUUCUACAGUAAGGGCAUUUGAUAGAACAAGAUGAGAGUUCAUGGGAAAAAUCGAGAUCCCUCUAGAAGUGGGUCCCUACAUAUACGAUAUCGAGUUCCAAGUCAUGGACAUUACACCAUCAUAUAACUGUCUUUUAGGAAAACCCUAGAUCCAUUCCGCUGGAGCAGUCCCAUCAUCCCUUCAUCAAAAGGUGAAAUUUAUCAUGGAUGGUUGUUUGGUCACUGUCGAGGGAGAAGAAGACAUUGUCGCAUCUAUCUCUGCUGAUGCGUCAUACCUCGAAGUAAGCAAAGACGCAAUAGAAUGGUCCUUCCGAUCCCUUGAAUUUGUCAAUGCAACAUUCGUCGCUGAGGGAAACAGAAUUCCCAAGCCAAAAUUGUUGAGAAAUACCAAGAUGGGUGUCAAGUUAACUGUAGGAAAGGGAGCCCGAGCAAGGAAAGGUUUGGGAAGGUACCUGCAAGGAAUAGUCAGGGCUCUAAAGCCAGUGCACCACAUGGCCCGAUAUGGUUUGGGGUUCCAACUGGACAUGCGUCAAAGAAGAAAACAGCGGAAGAAGGAUCAGGAGAGAAGGAUUGCGAGAACUUUGGGCCGAGAAGUAGAAUGGGAGCCCAUAACGUACUCUCAUUUGUUGAAAACAUUUACGUCUACGGAAAUGAUAUACCCGGGGCAGGAUCAUGCACAAGGCACAAUUUUAAUGAUCGAAAAGGGUUUUCAGAAUAUCAGUAUAAAUGUCAUUGACAAAGGAGCUAAUGCAAGUAAAGACGUCCCAAGGAUACGCCCUUGUCCCCUGGGUUUCAGGUUGAACAAUUGGACUACCGAAGACCUUCUUGUAGUUUAUAAGUCUUCAGAGUAAUGCUCAAACAUUAACAUUCUAUUAUGUUCUUAGAUAUAAUAGAGUUCUUUUGUAAGAGCCUGCAUUCGCUCUUUAUCAUUCAAAUGAAUAUCAAUGAAGAUGCAUUUUGUCAUAAUCUUUCACAUUAUCACUAAUUUCAUAAUCAUUUUCUCCUUUCAUAGCCAAUCCUUACAUUUGCCUCAUGCCAUGCCAUAACAUUUCGUUUGUUGGUUCCAAUACUUGGAUGCCCCUCUAUAGUUUCCUUUUCCAUUCAAAUUUCAGGUGCUCAGAUGUCAACAGCAUAAACAAACCUGUUACGAGUCCUGAAAUCUUUUUUGAAAAGGUUGUUUGUUUAGGAGAAUUCGAAGCCGAAGAAAAUGCUGAAGACUAUGUCUCGUCUCUUGACUUGCUAAGAAUGGUGGAACAAGAGGAUAAACAAAUUUUGCCUCAUCAAGAAUCUGUUGAAACAAUAAAUCUGGGAACUGAAGAAAGGAAGCAAGAAGUAAAGAUUGGAACUUCUAUUUCAGGGGGCACCAGGCAUAAUUUGAUUGCUUUGCUCCGCGAGUACAAAGAUGUAUUCGCAUGGUCAUAUCAGGACAUGCCAGGAUUGGAUGAAGAUGUAGCGGUCCGUAAGCUCCCAUUAAAGCCAAAAUGCAAGCCCAUUCAACAAAAUGCAAGUCCAUUCAACAAAAGGCAAAAGUCAAGAGUCAAGAAGCAAUUUGGUGCUAGUUUCCUACAAGCUUCCAAAUACUGUUGCGCUUUGGUUUGGGUAGCUCGAAGACUUAGGCAAUACAUGUUGUAUCAUACGACAUGGUUAAUUUCAAAGCUAAAUCCAAUAAAGCACAUGAUGGAAUCACCUGCACUCUCAGGAAGAAUGGCACGGUGGCAGAUCUUACUAUCAGAGUACGACAUCACCUAUGUGAGUCAAAAGUCAAUAAAAGGAAGCGCAAUAGCUGACUUCUUAGCAACCCGAACAAUGGAUGAAUAUGAGCCAUUGAGAUCUGAUUUCCCGGAUGAAGAUUUGAUGUGCAUUACAGAAAAAGAGGGUGAGUCAUCAAAAAAGAAGUCAUGGAAGAUGAGCUUUGAUGGUACAUCAAACACAUUGGGGCAUGGGAUUGGAGCAGUCUUAGUAUCACUAGAAGGGAACCAUUACCCACUCACUGUUAGGCUGAAUUUCUUCUGUACCAAUAACAUAGCGGAAUAUGAGGCAUGUAUCAUGGGACUUCGUGCAGCUAUUGAACGAAACAUCAAAACUUUAGAGGUAUACGGAGACUCAGCCUUGGUGAUUUACCAAAUCCGUAGAGAUUGGGAAGUGAGAGACUCGAAACUGGUUAAAUACAGUGAUCUAGUGGCAGAGUUGAUUAAAGAAUUCGAAGAAAUAACUUUUAAUUACCUCCCACGAGAAGGAAACCAAUUGGCUGAUGCCCUGGCCACUUUGGCUUCAAUGUUCAUAGCAAACAGAGAAACAGAAAUAAUGCCACUUCAAAUGAGCAUAUAUGAAGUCCCUCCACAUUGUUUCAGCAUUGAAAAAGAGCCAAAUGGACGGCCAUGGUUCCAUGAUGUCUUAGAAUAUAUCAAGAAUCGAAAGUAUCCCGAACAAGCAAACGAAAAUGACAAAAGAACAAUCAGAAGAAUGGCAGCGGGAUUCGUUCUUGAUGGGGACAUCCUGUACAAAAGAGGAAAAGAUCAGGUGCUCUUGAGAUGCAUAGAUGCUGUUGAAGCCAGAAAAAUACUUAAGGAUGUCUAUGAGGGAAUUUGCGGGACACAUGCCAAUGGUUUCACUAUGGCCAGGAAGAUUAUGAGACUCGGAUAUUACUGGCUGACGAUGGAAAGCGACUGCAUUAAUUUCGCACGAAAAUGCCACAAAUGUCAAUUUUUUGGUGAUAAAAUUCAUGUAGCCCAUUUGCCCCUUCACGUCAUGACUUUUCCGUGGCCUUUUUCUAUGUGGGGCAUGGAUGUUAUAGGGCCAAUUUCCCCAAAAGCUUCUAAUGGACACCGAUUCAUUUUUGUGGUUAUUGAUUACUUCACAAAAUGGAUAGAAGCCACAUCAUUUGCCAAUGUGACGAAGACUGCAGUUUGCAGGUUUUUGAAAAAGGAAAUCAUUUGUCGAUAUGGUUUGCCUGAAAGAAUCAUUUCAGAUAACGCCUUGAAUUUGAACAACAAGAUGAUGAAAGAAGUGUGUGAGAAAUUCCAAAUAAAGCAUUAUAACUCCUCACCCUAUCGCCCAAAGAUGAACGGAGCUAUUGAAGCAGCCAAUAAGAAUAUUAAAAAGAUUAUUGGGAAAAUGACCAAGACAUAUAAAGACUGGCACGAGAAGCUACCAUUUGCUUUGUAUGCAUAUCGUACAUUUGUACGGACAUCUACGGGAGCAACUCCUUUCUCUCAGGUCUAUGGAAUGGAAGCUGUGCUACCCAUCGAAGUUGAGAUCCCCUCUCUACGAGUCUUAAUGGAAUCAAAACUAGAAGAAGCAGAAUGGGUUCGAGCUCGAUAUGACCAGUUAAACCUUAUUGAAGAAAAACAUCUGAAGGUAGUCUGCCAUGGACAGAUGUACCAGAAGAGAAUGAUCGCAGCCCAUGACAAGAAAAUACGGCCAAGAGAAUUCCACAAAGGAGAACUCGUGCUGAGAAAGAUUCUCCCAAUACAAAAAGACUUCCAAGGAAAAUGGGCGCCAAAUUGGGAAGGUCCAUACGUCGUAAAGAAGGCAUUCUCAGGCGGAGCUUUGAUUCUCACCGAGAUGGAUGGGAAGGAGUUACCGGAUCCAAUGAACUCAGAUGCUGUAAAGAAAUAUUAUGCUUGAAAAAGGAAACCAAGAUGAAAACCCGAAAAUGGCAUCUUAAAAAAAAAGAAAGAGAAAAAAGUGUGAUCAAGGUAAAAACCCGAAAAGGGCAUCUUGAUUAAACACAAAAGAUUAUGAUGAAAACCCGAAAGGGCAUUCUAAUGAAGCAAACCCGGGCUUAAAGAACAAGGCGUUUUGAACGAUGGGUCAAAUAGUGAGACUACAGUAUUUGAAGCAUUUCUGAAAGCUCGAAAUCUUCUACGCAAGAAGCCAUGCUCGAAAAGGUUCUUGAUUGAGGAAUGGGAAAGAGUACAUGCAUUGAAUAUCUAGAGCAUUUGUAUUCGUUGAAUGCAAUCCCUUUUCUCUUUAUGACACUCUUUUACUAUUGUUGGUUAACUUUCUUUGUUUGCUACAUUUGAAAUGAAUAAUUGUGAGGUAUCCUUUUGUCCCUACCUGACCAUUUUCAUACAUCUCAUUAUGUGAUUCAAUUACAUGAUAAAUAGUGAAAUGACAUACUCUAAACAAAAGAAAUGUUAAGCAUUACCCGGGUAAGAAUUUAAUAAGUACAAGAAUCUCAAAGUAAGGACAAAGUUCAACCUGGGGUAAAAGAGUGAUAUUUGAGAAACAUUGAUUACUCGUGAAACUUGAGGACGGGUACAGGGCCUAAAGAGGAAGUCAGGAGCCGAAGUAAUGAAUGCAGAUCAUCACGAAAAUCGUGACGAAAAAGGAAUAUAUGACAAACAUGCCUAAAGCUCAUAGCAUAAUCAUGUAGGCAUAAAAUCAUUUAUAACAAACAUGUGCAUAUCAUGCAUGACAUAUACAGGUACUCCAGUAGAGCAAGAGGAUGUGAUGAUAGCUAAAAAGACACAUGAGUUUCUCCAGAUGACAUGUUUUGGUAUUCUGAUGUUUUAUUUCUGUUUCAAAAUUCAACUCAUACUGCGAGGGGUGAGUUGAGCCUCAAGACAUGCUGAGGUAUUUUCGAUUUCUGUUUUUCAAUUUAUGUUUUCAAAAGUCAAUUCAUAUUGCUAUAGGUGAAUUGAGCCUCGGGGCACGCUGAGGUAUUUUCAAUUAUUGUUUGUCAAAAAAUCAAUUCAUAUUGCGAGAGGUGAGUUGAGCCUUGGGACACGUUGAGAUAAUUUUUUUUCUGUUUCAAAAUUCAACUCAUACUGCAAGAAGUGAAUUGAGCCUCAAGACACGUUGAGGUAUUUUCAAUUUCUGUCUUUCAAAAAAUUCAACUCAUACUGCAAGAAGUGAGUUGAGCCUCAAGACACGUUGAGGUAUUUUCAAUUUCUGUCUUUCAAAAUAAUCAACUCAUAUUGCGAGAGGUAAGUUGAGCCUCAGGACACGCUGAGGUAAUUUUGAUCUCCGUUUUUGAAAAUCAACUCAUAUUGCGAGAGGUGAGUGGAACCUCAGAUCACAUGUCGAGGUAUUUUCAAAUUCUGCUUUUCAAAUUAAGUUUCAAAAACCAACUCAUAUUGCGAGAAGUGAGUUGAGCCUUGGCUCACACGCUGAGCUAUUUUCAAUUUCUAUUUUUAAUGUCUGUUUUUUAAAGAGUCAAUUCAUAUUGCGAGAAGUGAGUCGAGCUCAGGAUCACACGCUGAGUAAAGAAUUAAGAUUACAGCUGAUUGAAGACACCAGAUUUUGUCUCCCUGAAGUUGCAGUGGAGUUGAUCGAGGAUAUUAGAUCUUGCCUUUCUAAAGUGGCAGAAGAGAAGACCAAAACCUUAUCUCACUAAAGCGAUAGAAGAGCGGAUUGAAGUUGUAGAUCUUAUCUUUCUGAAGUUACAGUAAAACGGAUCGAAGCCACAAAUCUCAUAUCCUUGAAACUACAUUGGAGUAGAUUGAAGCUACAAGGCCCAUAUCAGAAGAUGCAAUGAAUUGGACCAAAGCUACAAGAUACGGUGGACUAGAGAGAAACUACUUGAACAAGAAGAGUACCAAAGACGUCAAGACUUAGCAAGACUGGGCAAAAUUGGCCUUUAUUUGUGUCUUUGCUCUAUUCCCGUUACACGACAAUGAGCAAAGAGGGGCAGCUGUUGUAGGCCAAUUUUGAGCCCUUUUUACAAAAUACCCACAGCCCAAUUUUAUCCACACUUAAACCUCAACCCAUUUCCUAAUACCCAUCUAAAUUAACCCAAAUAAAACCCAAGUACAACCUAAUUACCCAAACCCCAUAAAGCCCAAAUACAACCCAAUACCAACCUAACCACUACCCAUACCCAAAUUAGCCCAAUAACAAAUAGCCCAAUUCUAACCCUAGCCCAAAACCAAAACUUUCAGCCAAGGGAAACCCUAGGCCGCCGCAUGCUAGGCAUGCCUCUGCCCGAGACCUGGCACCAGCCACUACUACCACCACGCCACUGCUGCCCACCAUGCUUCUCUGACAACGGCCAUACCCUGCAAAAGGAGACAAACACCAAGACAGAAGAAGACGACAAGGAGCAAUGGCAAGAAACUUAAAAAAUGUUGUAUAGAAAUGGCUAUAAAGGCUAGAUCCGAAUGUAAUAGGAGCUCCCUCUUUUUUUUUCCUUUCAUUUUGGCAGUAAGAAAAAACACAAAAACAAGAAGAAAAACAUUCAAUUUCAGAUUCAAUAUAGUGAUUCAAUCAACGUUUAAAUAUAGAAAUAGCAUUCAGGCAUACAAAAACACCAAGAUCAAAGGAUUAAAAGCUUAAAAAACCCUAAGGUGAUUUCUUUUUUUCUUUCUAUUUUAAAUUCGGUUUUAAGCUUUUUUUACCUUUAUAUAUAUAUAUAUAUUAAAACAUAUUAAAAUAUAAAUACAAAAUACAAAAAAAAAGUAAAUUUUUACCUUUUCCGGCCACCGCACGCUGGCGACGGACGGAGGCUGACGAUCGGCCGGUGACCGGCCCCCCUGGCCGGAUUUCCUUCCCCCCUCCCUUCUCUCUUCUUUCUCCCUCAUUUUUUUUCUUUCUCUCCUCAGAAUGAUUUUUUUGUCAAAAAUUGGCCUUAUAUAGCCCUCCAAAACGACGUCGUUUUGGGGCUACCCUUUAGCCCCAAAACGACGUCGUUUUGGCCUAACCCGAUCCGACCCGACCUGUCUUACCCUAGGAUCCGCGUGUUUUUUGUUUGAUGGUCUAAUUUCGCGAUUGGCCCUUUCGCCUUUUCAUGUUUUCGCAAUUGAGUUUUUAAUAUUUCAUAAUUAGGCCCCGAAAUUUGACGCGCUUUGUGAUCUAGUCCUCUGCCAUGUGUUGCGUUUUAGGAGGAGAGAAUAUUGCACUUUUGGUCCCCCAGAGUUUCCCGCGUGUUCAUUUUGGUCCUUUUCCCUUAAUUUCUUUUUAAAUUUGCCCCAAAAUUCUGUUCUUAGUUCGAUUUAGUCCUUUUUCGUUUAUUUUCAUUUUUUUACAUAUUAUUAAUAUUAUUACUAUUAUUUUAUUUCUAUUAUUAUCUUUAUUAUUACUGUUAGUAUUAUUUUCAUUACUAUUAUUUUUAUUAACAUAUUAAUUAUUUUCUAACGUAUUAUUAUUACUAAUUAUUAUUAUAUCUAGUUUUAUUAUUAUUAUUAAUAUUAGUGUAUGUAUUUAUAUAUGUAUGUAUAUAUAUUUACAUAUAGUACUAUUUUAAUUACUUUAUUUUAAUAUUACUGUUAUAUUAUAUUUGCUUUUUUAUAUACUUCAUUAUUAUUUCUAAUAUUAUUAUUAUUAUUAGUCGUUAUUUAUUUCUAAUAUGUAUAUAUUAUGUAAAUGUUUAAAUAUUAUAUUAUAUAUAUUCUUCAUGUAUGUUAUGUAUAUAUGUUUUCAAUAUUAUAUUUUUUAUAUAUUAUUAGUUAUAUAUUUUAAUAUUAUUAGUUAUAUAUUUUUUAUACUAUUAUGUGUAUAUUUCUAAUAUUAUAUUGUAUAUUUUUAAUACUAUUAUUUAUAUAUAUAUGUGUGUGUAUAUAUUUGUGUAGUGUACAAAGUAGUUUUUUAUUAUUAUCAUUUCUAAGGUAUGUAUACAUUGUAUAUGUUUUAUUUAUGCUAUGUAUAUAUUUUUAAUAUUACUAAUUAUAUAUAUUUCUUAUACAUUUCCAUGUACAUAUUUUUAUACCAUCUUAUGUAUAUAUUUUUAAAUACUAUAUUGUAUAUAUAUAUUUUUUUCUUAAUACCAUAUUGUGUAUAUAUCAUUAUUACAUUUAUUUUACUCCUACUAUGUUUGUUAUUUAUAUCGACAUAUAUUUUAUUAUACUUGUAUGCAUAUUUUAUAUAUAGUAUUAUUUUCGUAUAUCAUUAUAAUUAUUAUACCCAUUAGUUUCACUAUCAUCACUUAUUAUUUUAUAUUACUAUGUAUAUAUUUUUCAUAUACGUCAUGUGCACACAUUUUUCAUAUGUAUACAUGUAUAUAUUAUGUAUAUAUUUUAACAUUAUUAGUUAUAUUCUCACUAUCAAACAUUAUAUAUAGUGUACAUACAUACUCUUCAUAUCAUGUAUCUAUAUUCAUUAUUUCCAUUUCAUAUUUAAUUCUAGUAUCAUAUAUAUCUUUAUUGUUUAUAAUAUUAUUGUCACAUUUAUAUUCGCUUCAAUGUACCUCUAGAUUUGUCUUUUAUUUUUUUAUUUAUUAAUUUGCUUUGUAUUACUUCGAAAAUCAUAUUCUUGUUUUCUAAUUAAUUUCAAUAAUCAAGGCAACGUACCGAUUUAACGUUAAGUCAUCGAUUUCAUCGCUAUGUUGGGUGAAUAUCAAUCGACUCGUGUUAAAACGGUAUAUCUUUCUCAAAAGAAAACGAAACUUGAAAUUUCUCGUGUUUUACUCGGUCACGAUUCAAGUUACUUUGAACUUGUAAUUUUGAAAAUUAAGACAACGCUUGUUUAUAAGAUACCAAUUUUGGGCGUCGCGAGGGUGCUAAUACCUUCCUCGCGCGUAACCGACUCCUGAACCCUAAAUUUUCUCUGGAUUUUAACGUAGACCUAAACUCAGCCUUUUAUUUGUUUUAAUAAGAGAUCUAAUAGGUGUCCGAUCACACCUAGGAAAAAGGAUCGGUGGCGACUCCCUGUUUAUUUCAAAAAUCAAAUUUCAAACUUUUUUUUCAAUAAAUCGCCACAAUUAGCGACCAAGCUAAGCUAAAAUUUUUACGUCGCUACAAACGCCUUUUUAUAAUGUAAUGCCAUACAAUAACAGGAAAACACAACAAGUCAGUAUUAUAUAAAGAAUAAUAGAACUCAAAGUAAGCAGAAAAUAAUUAAACACCUAUACGAGUAAUCGCUAGGGUUUGGUGCAGCUCUACCUAAGGCGGGUUUCUACGGCUCAACUAUAUGCGGUUUGUUUUUAAAGUAAAGGUUCCCAAACCAACAGAUUCCUCAAUCUUCACCCAUUAUAGGAUCAUAUAGACCGAGUUUAGUUCAGGGGAAUACAUUUCCCUAUAGCUGCACAGAGAUGAAAAUCUCACGAAGACGUAGGUACGAAUGUAUCCUGAAAGCAAUCAACUAUCCUACACAGAGGUGAAGACCUCACGAAGGAAUAGUUUCUCACUCCUACUUAAGAGGUGUGACUACAACGGUCAUGCAAUGCAAUGUGCGAGGAUAUAUGCAUAAAAAACUUGAAGCGAUAAAGAAAAUGGGAAUAAAAUAAUGAAAACCGUAAGAAAAAUGGGUGAAAUGCAAUGAAGGGAUCGUAAGAUUAAAACAAAUUUUCAAUUUUCGACAAAGGACAAAAAUUAAUCAAUUUAUGGCUCGACUCUCAAGGGUCCCUAGUGGAGUCGCCAAGCUGUUGAAACCAUUUUUUUGAAAAAUGGGAAUCGACUUUGUUUGAAAAUAAAAAUUAAAACGGGAGUCACCAUCGAUCUUUAUUAGGUAUGAUCAGAUCACCUUUGUUUUAAUAAAACAUUUUAGUUUACUAAAAUGGUGUUUUUGGUCUACGAAACUCGAGAGAAUGGGUUCGGGAGUCGGUUACGUACGAGGAAGGAUUAACACCCUCACCACGCCCAAAAUUGGUACCAAAUUGAUUAGUUAGUGUCUUAAUGUCGAAAAUUGGAAAUCGGGAAUUGAUUUAAAAUACGAUCCUUUUUUAUUAACGUCGAUUUUAAAAAUGCUUGAAUUAGAUCAAAACGAUUGCUAAAGAUUUCCUCGUCUUGAGAUAUCAGAGUAUCACAUCCCGUAAGUUAAGACACGAUCUCAUGAACUACUGAGCGCAAGUUUGUCUUUAAUUUUAAUUGGAAUUUCGUGUGCUUUAAAACUCGAAAGGAUAUUUGGCUAUUUAGAAUCAACGAGAAAAUUGAAACCUCGUAAGUUAGGGCACAAUGCCUCGAUGUUCCAAAACGCAAAACAUUGCCUUAUUUAGAAAAUUUUGUUUUGAACCAUAGCGAGUACGAUAUUUAAGCGACGUGUAUUAUUUGUUUGGAUUAAAAUAAAACGAUUUAUUGGAUAAAUGCAACGAGGCUUGAUUCAUGAGGCGAUGAUAUGAAAUAGAAAUAUAGUAAUGAGCCUAGAGCAAGGAUACAUGGACACAACAUUAUACGAAUGAAUAACAAUAAUGCAAAAAUAUGAAAUAAACGAAUUAAAAUACACACAAUAGCAAUAAUCACACAACAUACAUUAUUUAAAUACUAAUCAUUAAUAAUCAAAGACAAAUGAAUUAAAUAACAUAUAAAAAUUUAAAAAAAUUAUAAAGCAAAUUAAAACGAAUAAAACGUAAAACAAAUUUUAAAAUGAUAAGAAAUGAAUUUAAAAUAAAUAAUGUGAAAAAAAAGAAAUUUAAUAUCAACAAUAUACAAAACAAUUUAAAAAUAGAAUAUAUGUAUAAUAAAUUUUAAAAUAGGUAAUAUAGGCGAAAGUUUAAAAUAAAUAAUAUACGGGAAAAGUUUAAAAUGAAUAAUAUGUAAAAUAAUUUAAGAUAAAUAAUAUAUAAAUGAGUUUAAAAUAAAUAUUAUGUAAAAAGAAACUUAAAAUAAGUAAUAUACAAGACAUCUAAGAAAUAACUAGUAUAUAUAUAAAAAAAAUUAGAUAUAAAAAUUUGAAAUUGAUAAUAUAUAUAAAAUUUUAAAGUAAAUAAUAAAACAAUUUAAAAUUAAUAAUGCAUAAAGCGAGUUUAAAAUAAAUAAUGUAAAAGAAUUUUAAAAUCUAUAUUACGCAAAGCAAAUUAAAAAAGGAUUCAUAUGAAUAAUUUUAAAAUAGAUAAUAUAUAUACAUACACAAAAGUGUAAAAUAAAUAAUAUAUAUAAAAACCUAAAGUAAAUAAUAAUAAAACCAUUUUAAAUAAAUAAAAAGAGUUUAAAAUAAGAUAACAAUUUAAAACAAGCAAUAAAACAGUUACACAUAAAAACAAGUUUAGAAAUAUAUAUAAAGCAAUUCAAAGUAUAUAAUAUAUGAAAUAAUUUAGAAUAAUACAUCCAAAACAGUCUAAAACAGUUUAUCAUAUAAAAUUUAAAAUAAAUAAAAUAGUUUAAAUUAAAUGAAAAAAAAAUCAAAGAGUCCAAAUUUACAUGAAAAAGGGGUAGAUUGUAAAUAAAAUGAAACUUUAGGGUCUAAAUUCGAAUAAAAUAAAUGCAAGUAUAUAGAAAGGACUAAAUCAAAAUCUAAAUAAAAUUAAAAGGGGAAAUUCGGAUAAAAAAAAGGUAGAGGACGGAUUUGAAACGUGCUUUAAAACUGAAGGACCGAUUGGGAAAAUAUUCCCCUCCCUUAUACGCUGCGUUUCACUCGUCUGCCUCUUCAAAUGGUCUGAGGGCCAAAUUGAAACAGAGGUAAAAUUAUGCAGUCAAAGUUAAAAAUAAAAGGAAAAUAAAAAGGAUUAAAUUAAAAGAAUCAAAAAUUCGGAAGGACGGCGGACGUAAAUAGCCCAUUUACUGAAAACGCGUGGAUCCCCCUAGGGCGAGUCGGGUUGCGCGGAUCAGAGGCCCAAAACGACGUCGUUUUGGCCUCUAAACCCAAUUACCAAAACGGCGUCGUUUGCUUCUUAUUACUUAAGUCAAUUUUUUUUUUUUAAAAUUCAUUUUUGCGUUUCACUCGUCUGCCUCUUCAGCGACGGAGAAGGGCUCUCUGAAGCCACGGCCACGGGGUUCAGGUAAGUUUCCUCCUCUUUUUACAUUUUUUGUUCAAAAAUGAAAAUAAAAGAACAAAAGGAAAACGAGAUAUGGGAACAAAAAUCAACCUUUUGCUUGUUUUUUCUUUUUCGAUUGCUUAAUGUUCGUAAAAAAUUUACAGAGAAGAAGUUUCAGGCUUUAUUGCCGAAGAUUACAAGAUCCCUUUUUGUUUUUUGCUUAUUGUCUGCUAUUGUUCCUUGUUUUUUUCUUCUUUGUUUCUUGUAUUUUGCGUGUUUGGAUUUGUUUUGCAGGUGGUGUCAGAUGCGCGUGCUGCUAUGGUGGCGUGCGGGAGGCUCUGCGCGAGGUGGCCAAUGGUGAGGAGCGGCGGCUGAAGAGGGAGCUAGGGUUUGCUUGCUGAAAAUUUUGAUAGCUAGUGGGCUAGGAUUUGGGCUGGUUUGGUUGUAUUUUGAGUCUGAAAUGGGUUUUAAAUUGUUGGGCCACACAUAUAUUGUAAAUGGACUAAAAAAAAGAAACUUUUUAAUUGUUUAUUUGAGUUUUAUUUUGUUUUAUUGGCUUGGGCCAAAAUUAGCUAUUACAAUUUUGCCUUACUUUUUUAUUUUUAUUUUGUAGCUAAUUAUUAAAUGACAAUCUUUUGAAGUUUUCGUCGUCAGCAAUUGAAGUGUUUUCGGGUCUUCGGUGACAUAACGGCCUAUAUAAAAAAAUGGAUAUAAAAUUUGCCAUGUUUUAUUUAUUAUUUUAAUAUCUUGCGUUUUCAAUUUAAUUCAACUUUAACAAUUCAAUUUUUAAAUAAGGCUUCGCAUUUUAUUUCUUCCUCACUUUUUAAAAUAUCAAUUUUAGUCCUUCAAAAAUUCUUUUAAACUCUUAAAAUUUUGAAAUUGCAAAAGUGCCCAUCGAAUUCCCUUGUUUCCCAU
rnacentral:lncRNA from 1 species